AUCUGAGUUUGAUCCUGGCUCAGGAUGAACGCUGGCGGCGUGCCUAAUACAUGCAAGUCGAGCGAGGUUCUUCGGAACCUAGCGGCGGACGGGUGAGUAACACGUGGGUAACCUGCCUGUAAGACCGGGAUAACUUCGGGAAACCGAAGCUAAUACCGGAUACUUUCAAGCAUCGCAUGAUGCUUAAUGGAAAGACGGUUUCGGCUGUCACUUACAGAUGGACCCGCGUCGCAUUAGCUAGUUGGUGAGGUAACGGCUCACCAAGGCGACGAUGCGUAGCCGACCUGAGAGGGUGAUCGGCCACACUGGGACUGAGACACGGCCCAGACUCCUACGGGAGGCAGCAGUAGGGAAUCUUCGGCAAUGGGCGAAAGCCUGACCGAGCAACGCCGCGUGAGCGAUGAAGGCCUUCGGGUCGUAAAGCUCUGUUGUUAAGGAAGAACAAGUACGAGAGUAACUGCUCGUACCUUGACGGUACUUAACGAGAAAGCCACGGCUAACUACGUGCCAGCAGCCGCGGUAAUACGUAGGUGGCGAGCGUUAUCCGGAAUUAUUGGGCGUAAAGCGCGCGCAGGCGGUUUCUUAAGUCUGAUGUGAAAGCCCACGGCUCAACCGUGGAGGGUCAUUGGAAACUGGGAAACUUGAGUGCAGAAGAGGAAAGCGGAAUUCCACGUGUAGCGGUGAAAUGCGUAGAGAUGUGGAGGAACACCAGUGGCGAAGGCGGCUUUCUGGUCUGUAACUACGCUAGCGCAAAGCGAC
rnacentral:rRNA from 1 species